UUUUAGUAGGCCGUGAUGUUUAUGAAGCAGUGUAAAGUGAUAAUUGUUAUGACCCUAUGGUUUUAUUUAUGUAAUUGUGAGUAAUCGUUAAGUAAUCAGAAAGAUCGGGCAGAAGGAUUUUAUAAAAUAAUGAUGCUUUAUUAAGAUCAGAAAGUGAAUCGUACUAUACAAUAAGGAAAUCUAAGCGUCUGAAAGCAGACUCUUGAGGACAAAAAGAUCGUUGCUGGCAGUUUCAUACAGAAAACAAGGUGAGGAGAUGGAUCGCUCUGAGGUUAUCCAGACUUUAAUGUGGGGAAUGAGCCUGAAACAGAUACAAAUACAGAAUAGUCGCCACCAGUAAAAAGAAAAAAGAAGUGGACCGAUGAAGAAAAACAAUUACUUAAAUGCCUUUUCAGAAAGUACAUUCAUGAGAAAAUGUUGCCUCCUUGGAUAGUAUUUCAAAUGGCAACUAAACAACUUCAAAGAAGAAGCGUGUUUCAAAUCAGAGCAAGGAUUCAUAACAUGAUUUCCGGAAAACAGGUCUUUGAUUAAAAAGUUUCAUGGAAAUUUUGGAUGUUUUGAUUUUGAAAUGAUUUACAGGGUUCGCACAGACCUAGAAGUAUCAUGGAAAAUAAAUAUGUCAUGUAAAUGUCAUGGAAUGUUGAAAAGAGACAAUUCAUCAUGGCAAUAUCUUGAAAUCUUCAGAAAAGAUCAUGGAAUGUUUAAAAAUUGCCUUGAAAUUCUUCUUAAGCACUCGAUUUGAAAAGAAGUAAUAUUUGAAAUUGCAAAACGAUGCCAGCUAUUUCGUUGCAGUCUUUUGGCGAGCAAAUAAUGUUGAGUAUCAUACAUAGAAUGUUCUCACGCAUGUUUGCAACACAGGAUAGUUACUCUGGCAUUUUUCCGUUAAUGACUACUCUUUUCCAAGUGUAAAAAUAAUGUUUUGGUAUCAUGGAAAAUUAAAAUAUAUCUUGGAAAAAUCAAGGAAAUAUGGAAUUUCAGUAACAGAUCUCAGUAUGAACCCUGGUUUCACACGAGUAAUUAUUUCAGCGAUGAGAAUUCAUACUAGAUAGAUAUAUUUGAAGUGAAAAUUGAAAAACAUACAGGAGAUUCAUCGGCCCCAAAACGAUAUCUCGUAACUUGAAAACCCCUACUUUUCACAAGCAAAAAACUAAAUUCUUAAAUGUUUCAAAAUUGAAAAAAGGUGGCCAAAAUGAUGUAUCUUAACUCUGAUUUUUAAAUCUUUCAAAUGGAAAUGUUUAUUUAACAGACACAGCUGCUGAAGUGUAAACCAUAUCUCUGUACAGACUUCAUUUAUCUACAUAAAUGAACCCGCCACAACAUACGACAUUGCGUCCGCUGAUUAUAAUACGACGUUUCUACCCAUAAGGUUUUAGGAAGAUUUCGUCAUUAAGGCUAGAGUUACAUACAUGGUAUAUACCAAUUGUUGGGUAAUAAGAGGAGGAAUCAGAAAAAAAGCAAACAAAACAAAUAAAACAAUGAAGUUACGAGGUUUCGUUUUGGUGCUGACCAUAUGUUAGAAGGAAUAAUUAAGUUGAAACUUGCUCAUUCUUUGAACCUUUCCAUGCCAUCGAAUAUGUUUUUUCGGUAAUUCAAGGGCCAGUGAUGUUUUUUUUUUUUUUUUUUUUUUUUUUUUUUUUUUGCUUUUUAAUUAACAUUCCAUAUUGAACACUAUUGUUUUGCAUUUCUUUUCAUGACAUUCAUAGUGAAAUUUAUUUGGGUUGAAAUGUUUUUCGUUUGAUUAUCUUAAUACGGGUUAGCAUUUUCAAUUUUUACUUUAUUUUUUUAUUAGUCAUUCUUUGCUUUAACAUGCUCAUGUAUAUGUAUUAUUGAAAUGAUGUAAUUGAAAUUUCUUUUAAUGACCAUUUCGUUUGGUGAUAGUCCUGAUUCUUCGUUGCGAAAGCCGGCCAUAGCCAUAAAAUACGUAGAAGUGGGCAUAUGGUGUAGGCAGAUCCCUUUGAUCUAUAGAAUGUAUUCUGUAAAUUUUGGCAGAUGGUACUGUAAAAGUGGGCAGACUAACGGUACUUUAUUUCAUAGAGUCUGCUGAACUCAGUUACUGAUUUAUAUAUAAGCAUCAGUAUAUAGAACAAAUUCAUGCAUAUGUUCUGAAAAGUGCAAUACAUGUAAAUAGUGUAAUUUGUUGUAUCUUUACGAUGAUAUUUAUAUGCUUUAGAAACAAAUUUAUAUUUUAGGCCGAUAAUGACCAGUUACUUAAUUCUUUAUUUUGCAUUAUUGUUUAAUCACCAUUUAUUGAUGUUUUAUUGUGCCCCCACUAUAAGUUUUUGAGGCAUGUGGAUUUGGUCUUGUCCGUGCGUCGGUCCGUCCGAAAAAAGUUCCUUGCUCAAAAAGUAUUUCAGAUAGAUUGAUAAAGCCAAUGAGUCUUUAUCAUGAAAUGAAAUUGCACACCUAUUUUUCGUCCGGCUCCGC
rnacentral:lncRNA from 1 species